rnacentral:rRNA from 1 species
GGGUUGUGAGGUUAAGCGACUAAGCGUACACGGUGGAUGCCCUGGCAGUCAGAGGCGAUGAAGGACGUGCUAAUCUGCGAUAAGCGUCGGUAAGGUGAUAUGAACCGUUAUAACCGGCGAUUUCCGAAUGGGGAAACCCAGUGUGAUUCGUCACACUAUCAUUAACUGAAUCCAUAGGUUAAUGAGGCGAACCGGGGGAACUGAAACAUCUAAGUACCCCGAGGAAAAGAAAUCAACCGAGAUUCCCCCAGUAGCGGCGAGCGAACGGGGAGCAGCCCAGAGCCUGAAUCAGUGUGUGUGUUAGUGGAAGCGUCUGGAAAGGCGCGCGAUACAGGGUGACAGCCCCGUACACAAAAAUGCACAUGCUGUGAGCUCGAUGAGUAGGGCGGGACACGUGGUAUCCUGUCUGAAUAUGGGGGACCAUCCUCCAAGGCUAAAUACUCCUGACUGACCGAUAGUGAACCAGUACCGUGAGGGAAAGGCGAAAAGAACCCGGCGAGGGGAGUGAAAAAGAACCUGAAACCGUGUACGUACAAGCAGUGGGAGCCUCUUUAUGGGGUGACUGCGUACCUUUUGUAUAAUGGGUCAGCGACUUAUAUUCUGUAGCAAGGUUAACCGAAUAGGGGAGCCGAAGGGAAACCGAGUCUUAACUGGGCGUUAAGUUGCAGGGUAUAGACCCGAAACCCGGUGAUCUAGCCAUGGGCAGGUUGAAGGUUGGGUAACACUAACUGGAGGACCGAACCGACUAAUGUUGAAAAAUUAGCGGAUGACUUGUGGCUGGGGGUGAAAGGCCAAUCAAACCGGGAGAUAGCUGGUUCUCCCCGAAAGCUAUUUAGGUAGCGCCUCGUGAAUUCAUCUCCGGGGUAGAGCACUGUUUCGGCAAGGGGGUCAUCCCGACUUACCAACCCGAUGCAAACUGCGAAUACCGGAGAAUGUUAUCACGGGAGACACACGGCGGGUGCUAACGUCCGUCGUGAAGAGGGAAACAACCCAGACCGCCAGCUAAGGUCCCAAAGUCAUGGUUAAGUGGGAAACGAUGUGGGAAGGCCCAGACAGCCAGGAUGUUGGCUUAGAAGCAGCCAUCAUUUAAAGAAAGCGUAAUAGCUCACUGGUCGAGUCGGCCUGCGCGGAAGAUGUAACGGGGCUAAACCAUGCACCGAAGCUGCGGCAGCGACGCUUAUGCGUUGUUGGGUAGGGGAGCGUUCUGUAAGCCUGCGAAGGUGUGCUGUGAGGCAUGCUGGAGGUAUCAGAAGUGCGAAUGCUGACAUAAGUAACGAUAAAGCGGGUGAAAAGCCCGCUCGCCGGAAGACCAAGGGUUCCUGUCCAACGUUAAUCGGGCAGGGUGAGUCGACCCCUAAGGCGAGGCCGAAAGGCGUAGUCGAUGGGAAACAGGUUAAUAUUCCUGUACUUGGUGUUACUGCGAAGGGGGGACGGAGAAGGCUAUGUUGGCCGGGCGACGGUUGUCCCGGUUUAAGCGUGUAGGCUGGUUUUCCAGGCAAAUCCGGAAAACUAAGGCUGAGGCGUGAUGACGAGGCACUACGGUGCUGAAGCAACAAAUGCCCUGCUUCCAGGAAAAGCCUCUAAGCAUCAGGUAACAUCAAAUCGUACCCCAAACCGACACAGGUGGUCAGGUAGAGAAUACCAAGGCGCUUGAGAGAACUCGGGUGAAGGAACUAGGCAAAAUGGUGCCGUAACUUCGGGAGAAGGCACGCUGAUAUGUAGGUGAAGCGACUUGCUCGUGGAGCUGAAAUCAGUCGAAGAUACCAGCUGGCUGCAACUGUUUAUUAAAAACACAGCACUGUGCAAACACGAAAGUGGACGUAUACGGUGUGACGCCUGCCCGGUGCCGGAAGGUUAAUUGAUGGGGUUAGCGCAAGCGAAGCUCUUGAUCGAAGCCCCGGUAAACGGCGGCCGUAACUAUAACGGUCCUAAGGUAGCGAAAUUCCUUGUCGGGUAAGUUCCGACCUGCACGAAUGGCGUAAUGAUGGCCAGGCUGUCUCCACCCGAGACUCAGUGAAAUUGAACUCGCUGUGAAGAUGCAGUGUACCCGCGGCAAGACGGAAAGACCCCGUGAACCUUUACUAUAGCUUGACACUGAACAUUGAGCCUUGAUGUGUAGGAUAGGUGGGAGGCUUUGAAGUGUGGACGCCAGUCUGCAUGGAGCCGACCUUGAAAUACCACCCUUUAAUGUUUGAUGUUCUAACGUUGACCCGUAAUCCGGGUUGCGGACAGUGUCUGGUGGGUAGUUUGACUGGGGCGGUCUCCUCCUAAAGAGUAACGGAGGAGCACGAAGGUUGGCUAAUCCUGGUCGGACAUCAGGAGGUUAGUGCAAUGGCAUAAGCCAGCUUGACUGCGAGCGUGACGGCGCGAGCAGGUGCGAAAGCAGGUCAUAGUGAUCCGGUGGUUCUGAAUGGAAGGGCCAUCGCUCAACGGAUAAAAGGUACUCCGGGGAUAACAGGCUGAUACCGCCCAAGAGUUCAUAUCGACGGCGGUGUUUGGCACCUCGAUGUCGGCUCAUCACAUCCUGGGGCUGAAGUAGGUCCCAAGGGUAUGGCUGUUCGCCAUUUAAAGUGGUACGCGAGCUGGGUUUAGAACGUCGUGAGACAGUUCGGUCCCUAUCUGCCGUGGGCGCUGGAGAACUGAGGGGGCUGCUCCUAGUACGAGAGGACCGGAGUGGACGCAUCACUGGUGUUCGGGUUGUCAUGCCAAUGGCACUGCCCGGUAGCUAAAUGCGGAAGAGAUAAGUGCUGAAAGCAUCUAAGCACGAAACUUGCCCCGAGAUGAGUUCUCCCUGACCCUUUAAGGGUCCUGAAGGAACGUUGAAGACGACGACGUUGAUAGGCCGGGUGUGUAAGCGCAGCGAUGCGUUGAGCUAACCGGUACUAAUGAACCGUGAGGCUUAACCUUACAACGCCGAAGGUGUUU